rnacentral:rRNA from 1 species
UACGUAGGUGGCAAGCGUUGUCCGGAAUUAUUGGGCGUAAAGCGCGCGCAGGUGGUUUCUUAAGUCUGAUGUGAAAGCCCACGGCUCAACCGUGGAGGGUCAUUGGAAACUGGGGAACUUGAGUGCAGGAGAGAAGAGUGGAAUUCCAAGUGUAGCGGUGAAAUGCGUAGAGAUUUGGAGGAACACCAGUGGCGAAGGCGACUUUCUGGUCUGUAACUGACGCUGAGGCGCGAAAGCGUGGGGAGCAAACAGG